GUUUGAUGAGCAGAUCUAGGGUUUCAUGAGAUCUAUCACAAGCUUUAUCUGGCAACUUGGCACCAAGGGAUCCACAGAUUUGAACAAGGGAUCCACAGAUUUGCUGGAGAAUGGCCGGAAUCAGGUGACUGUCUGUUAGGUUUCGGUUUUCGAUCUGUUAGGGUUCAUCAACCAACUUCAGUUUCUUCAAAAAUUCUGACAAAUGCAUAAUUUUAGAGAUCCAUUGUGCUUUAUUGAAGCUUGAAGAUCUGGCGUGUUUUCCAAUUGAAGACUUUGAUAGUAGGUACAACUUUGAACAGAUCCAAAAUCCAGGUUCUUUUUUUAUUCUUCUACUAUUGUAUUCACUUUGAAGUUGUGCCAGGUAAUAGCGACGUUUUGAGGAUAGUGUUGGAUUUGCAAAAAGAGGGCAAUUGUGUGAUAAACUGAUGCAACUUGCAUCUGGAUAAAUUGAAAAACAGUACAAAAAACUGAUUUUGAUGGAGGACAAAGAUUUGCAGUGAUGACUUGAGACUGCAUUAGAAAGUUUAUGAGACGAUUCGAUGGAUAGUGUGAACAAGGUUGGUAUACUGGUAUGGGUUGGAACUGGACUGGGUUGUUUUACUCUUUUCUUCUUUGAGCGUUGUGUAUAGACAUGGUGAAGGGGUGGUCAUGGGCCUAAACAUGGAAAGUGACGGCACGAAAAAAGCUGGGGUAUAUGAAGAUAUCAACUGAAGCAAUGGAUGCCCCGAAAACUUGAUUUAGUUUCGACCCAGGUACAUAUGUAUAUCUCUGAGCUUUUAAGAUACUUUCUUGGGUUGGUACCUACGUAAAUUUCAGGCAAAGAACUCAGGGUUGCUAUUGGAACACAUGACUUGGACACAAUAGACGGCCCAUUCACGUAUGAGGCUUUGCCACCGUCAAAGAUAGAGUUCAAGCUACUAAAACAGGUGGAACCUUUCAAAGCUGAUAAGCUGAUGGAAUUUUACAAGAACCAUGUUGUCUCUUCCACCAAUAAUUAACAAAGCACACUUGGCUAUCUCUUGGAAGACCAAAAACAUGUUCAUCAAAUGCACAGCCACCGAUUUGACCAAGCUUUGCAGGCUUUCAACAUAUUUUUGUUUACAAAAUUGCAGGUCUUUUAACAAUUUUUUUAGACCAACUUGACUGGACCUGACCUGACCCAACCCGAAACCGGUUCCGACCCAGACCUGUUUUGACCCGACCCCAAGAUUUUAGUAUUUUAUGUCAAGGUUUAAACUUAAAGUUAUACUCUUUCAUUUAUAUGUCAAGGUUUUAAUAUUUUUUAUUGGGUUUAUAAACUAACUUUAAGAGUACAUAAAUACAUAUUCAAUGAAACUAGCUUGACUUUUUACUUCAUUCUUAUUACAGGAUACAUUUUAAUAGAUUACUGUUUUACAACGUAUAUCGGCCAACAUAAAAAAAAACCGAUCCGUUCCGACCCAGACCCGUUUCGACCCGAACCUGUUUCGACCCAAACCAAAAAACCCUUUUUUAUAAUUAACCCGUUUUAAGCCGACCCAUUUUGACCCACGACCCAACCCGACCCAACCCAACCCUUUGUUUAUGAUUGCAGCUCAACUCUCAAAGUUCAGUUGCUUCACCUAAAGGUGCAGGCCUUAUUGCUGCCACAUUAGAACAGCAAAACGCAAGUUCAAUACUCAUACCAAUGGGUUCGCAAGAUACUGAUGAACCUUAGCAACAUCAAAAUCAGUUGGAUGAUCCUGUCACAAGUAAUGUACUUGACAAAAAUACCGCCAAUGAGGAUGUUUCAAAGGUGUCAUACACAACAGAUACUCAUGGUAGUGACUGUCGGUGGCGGAGACAAACUUUGGCUGCGAGACCAUGACCACAUAGCUUAAGUCAGCAAGAGUUUUGCAAGCCCCAGUGCUGCAAAAAGUGGUGACGACAGUGGUAGUGCUUCAGCCUACUGUUGGUCGAGCUUUUGGCAUCAAAUCUGCAGGUUCAAGUAUGCUACGUGGUUUGUUGUUCAAUACUGCUGAUAUGUUCUGUACGGUGAUUUUUGAGCCAGAAAUGGGCCAGAGAGCUUGUUGCAAUUAAGUAUAGUGAGAGGGGAAAAGACGAACUGGAGGGAUUCGGGUAUACCAUUUUUACCCUGCUGAAUCACGUGAAGGCGGUGACAAAUGAGAUCUAGGAUUCAGCGGCUUCAUUUUUUCCUAAUAACUUCGAGAUGGGGGGGGGGGGGGUAAAUGCAGACGUUGAUGGGUAUGCUCUUACAGUUCUAAGUGUUCUCUCGGUCGUAACACUUUUGAUCUUCGUCACCAUCUAAAGUUAAGAGUUUCUGUCAAAAUAUAUAUGUAAUGAUCGAUAUUCACUUGUUUUUUUGGUGUUUUUUGUAAUUGUUACCAUAGAACACUGUUUUACCACUUCCUGGGUGCUCAUCCCAAUCCGUAAUAUCAAGCAUUAAACAAA